AUUGAACGCUGGCGGCAGGCCUAACACAUGCAAGUCGAACGAGUGGCGGACGGGUGAGUAAUGCCUGGGAAUCUGGCAUAUGGAGGGGGAUAACGACGGGAAACUGUCGCUAAUACCGCGUACCAUAGGAUGAGCCCAAGGGGGAUUAGGUAGUUGGUGGGGUAAAGGCUUACCAAGCCGACGAUCUCUAGCUGGUCUGAGAGGAUGACCAGCCACACCGGGACUGAGACACGGCCCGGACUCCUACGGGAGGCAGCAGUGGGGAAUAUUGCACAAUGGGCGCAAGCCUGAUGCAGCCAUGCCGCGUGAAUGAAGAAGGCCUUCGGGUUGUAAAGUACUUUCGGUGACGAGGCGUUACCUACAGAAGAAGCACCGGCUAACUCCGUGCCAGCAGCCGCGGUAAUAC
rnacentral:rRNA from 1 species